UCAGUUUUUUCCCCUAGAAAAAAUGAGGCAAUACAAAUGGGUUUGAUUUACAGCACCCUGAAGUUACAACCGUGCAUGAGGCAUGGACACUCGAUGGAGUUCAGAUCUGGGUCUUCCUUCCUGGGCUUGGGGCAACUGCUGAAGCUAAGGCUGGAGAUGGAGCUCUUGAGGCGAAAGCUGUCAGCCCCCUGCGCUUGCUUUUAAUUGCUUCUUCCCUCAGCUGACACCGUAUGGAAGUAGGGUCAUCAAUCUGCAGGUCUGAUCAGAAGGCAAAGGCAUGCCACAGUACCAACAUCAUCCCAGGACUGGAUGGCCCGGCACGGUCAUUCUGCACCAGGGCCCACGAGAUUGUUUCCAGGGAGAGAUCCAGUCUUGACUGACUAGUACUCUGUAGUAGGGCCUGGUUAGGCUGGCUGUAGCGUAGGCUUUCUUUAGCUGUCACCUCAUGGGUGACAUGGAUUCUACCCAUGAACAGAAGAGAAUUCAGCUCUCUGCCCAACAUUACAAGCUUGGAUUUUUUUUUUAUUUUAAAAAUUCAAAAAGCAAUAAAAGUCUGUUUCAGACAUCA